CAAAGGUUUGGUCCCAGCCUUGCUAUCAAUUUUAACCAGGAUUACACAUGCAAGCAUCAACUACCCAGUGAGAAUGCCCCUGACUUAUCCGUCAAAGAUAACAGGGAGCAGGUAUCAGGCACACAACAUAACGCUAGCCCAAGACACCUUGUCCAGCCACACCCCCAAGGGAACUCAGCAGUGAUAGACAUUGAAUAAUAAGUGAAAACUUGACUCAACCAUGGUUACAAGGGCCGGUCAACUCCGUGCCAGCCACCGCGGUUACACGGAAGACCCAAAAUGAUAACACUACCGGCGUAAAGCGUGAUUAAAGGACACCCGUCAUAAUGGAGCCACAAAUAACUAAAGCUGUCAUACGCACUUAGAAAAAUAGGCUCAUCUCACGAAAGUAGCUCCAGCACCUAAAGGAACCCUGAACCCACGAAAGCUAAGAAACAAACUGGGAUUAGAUACCCCACUAUGCUCAGCCCUAAACAUAAACAAUUGUAACACACACUGUUCGCCAGGGAACUACAAGCGCCAGCUUCAAACCCAAAGGACUUGGCGGCACUUCAAACCCACCUAGAGGAGCCUGUUCUAGAACUGAUAACCCCCACCUAACCUCACCAUCCCUAGCCAUUAAACCAGCCUAUAUACCGCCGUCGCCAGCCCACCCUGUGAAGGAAAUAUAAUGGGCAAAAAUAAAAAAAUUAAAAACGUCAGGUCGAGGUGUAGCAAAUGGGAUGGGAAGAAAUGGGCUACAUUUUCUAAAUAUAGAAUAUUACGAAAAAAUACAGCGAAACCCGUACUUCGAAGGAGGAUUUAGCAGUAAAAGGGGAAUAGAGAGCCCCUCUGAAACCGGCCCUGAAAUGUGCACACACCGCCCGUCACUCUCCUCACCCAAAAUCGGCCCCAUCUUUUUAUAAACAAAUAAACCAAGCAUACAAGUAGAGGAGGCAAGUCGUAACAAGGUAAGUGUACCGGAAGGUGCACUUGGAUUAAU
rnacentral:ncRNA from 1 species